GACAGAGGGGGCAAGCGUUGCUCGGAAUCACUGGGCGUAAAGGGCGCGUAGGCGGGAUGGCAAGUCGGUCGUGAAAUCCUUCGGCUCAACCGAAGAACGUCGGCCGAUACUGCCGUUCUUGAGGGAUGCAGAGGAGAUUGGAAUUCCCGGUGUAGCGGUGAAAUGUGUAGAGAUCGGGAGGAACACCGGUGGCGAAGGCGGGUCUCUGGGCCUUACCUGACGCUCAGGCACGAAAGCUAGGGGAGCGAACAGG
rnacentral:rRNA from 1 species